AGCUUGCUGCUUCGCUGACGAGUGGCGGACGGGUGAGUAAUGUCUGGGAAACUGCCUGAUGGAGGGGGAUAACUACUGGAAACGGUAGCUAAUACCGCAUAACGUCGCAAGACCAAAGAGGGGGACCUUCGGGCCUCUUGCCAUCGGAUGUGCCCAGAUGGGAUUAGCUAGUAGGUGGGGUAACGGCUCACCUAGGCGACGAUCCCUAGCUGGUCUGAGAGGAUGACCAGCCACACUGGAACUGAGACACGGUCCAGACUCCUACGGGAGGCAGCAGUGGGGAAUAUUGCACAAUGGGCGCAAGCCUGAUGCAGCCAUGCCGCGUGUAUGAAGAAGGCCUUCGGGUUGUAAAGUACUUUCAGCGGGGAGGAAGGGAGUAAAGUUAAUACCUUUGCUCAUUGACGUUACCCGCAGAAGAAGCACCGGCUAACUCCGUGCCAGCAGCCGCGGUAAUACGGAGGGUGCAAGCGUUAAUCGGAAUUACUGGGCGUAAAGCGCACGCAGGCGGUUUGUUAAGUCAGAUGUGAAAUCCCCGGGCUCAACCUGGGAACUGCAUCUGAUACUGGCAAGCUUGAGUCUCGUAGAGGGGGGUAGAAUUCCAGGUGUAGCGGUGAAAUGCGUAGAGAUCUGGAGGAAUACCGGUGGCGAAGGCGGCCCCCUGGACGAAGACUGACGCUCANGUGCGAAAGCGUGGGGAGCAAACAGGAUUANAUACCCUGGUAGUCCACGCCGUAAACNAUGUCGACUUGGAGGUU
rnacentral:rRNA from 1 species